CACAAGUUAUGUUGUGUUAUCGACAAGUGAAUUCAUAGCUUGUCAGAAGGCAGACCCGGAGAACUGAAACAUCUUAGUACCCGGAGGAAGAGAAAGAAAAUUCGAUUCCCUGAGUAGCGGCGAGCGAAACGGGAAGAGCCCAAACCAAUAAGCUUGCUUAUUGGGGUUGUAGGACACUCUAUACGGAGUUACAAAGGAAUAUAUUAAACGAAUCAUCUGGAAAGUUGAAUCAAAGAAGGUAAUAAUCCUGUAGUUGAAAAUAUAUUCUCUCUUGAGUGGAUCCUGAGUACGACGGAGCACGUGAAAUUCCGUCGGAAUCUGGGAGGACCAUCUCCUAAGGCUAAAUACUCUCUAGUGACCGAUAGUGAACCAGUACCGUGAGGGAAAGGUGAAAAGUACCCCGGAAGGGGAGUGAAAGAGAACUUGAAACCGUGUGCUUACAAGUAGUCAGAGCCCGUUAAUGGGUGAUGGCGUGCCUUUUGUAGAAUGAACCGGCGAGUUACGAUCUGAUGCAAGGUUAAGCAG
rnacentral:rRNA from 1 species